UGGACGAUGACGGCCUUCGGGUUGUAAACUCCUGUCAUUUGGGAACAGGUUGCAUUGGUUAACCGCCGGUGCAUUGAUAGUACCAGAAGAGGAAGAGACGGCUAACUCUGUGCCAGCAGCCGCGGUAAUACAGAGGUCUCAAGCGUUGUUCGGAUUCAUUGGGCGUAAAGGGUGCGUAGGUGGCGCUGUAAGUCAGGUGUGAAAUUUCGGAGCUUAACUCCGAAACUGCAUUUGAUACUGCGGUGCUUGAGGACUGGAGAGGAGACUGGAAUUCACGGUGUAGCAGUGAAAUGCGUAGAGAUCGUGAGGAAGACCAGUGGCGAAGGCGGGUCUCUGGACAGUUCCUGACACUGAGGCACGAAGGCCAGGGGAGCAAACGGGAUUAGAUACCCCGGUAGUCCUGGCAGUAAACGGUGCACGUUUGGUGUGGGAGGAUUCGACCCCUUCUGCGCCGGAGCUAACGCGUUAAACGUGCCGCCUGGGGAGUACGGUCGCAAGAUUA
rnacentral:rRNA from 1 species